rfam:Triticum aestivum genome assembly, contig: Triticum_aestivum_CS42_TGACv1_scaffold_603150_7DL
AGUCUGAUGCCAAGUCUCCGGUAGCCUUGACUGGAGAUGCUACAUUGUGUCGAGAGAGAAUCUUGGACGUUUCACAUUUGAUAGGAACAUGUGGCUAUUAUUCAGUCGGUACACUGAGCCGUUUUUGUGAUUGGAACU